GGGUGAUGUCUACUGUACCCUUAUCAUCGUCGUAGGCACUCGGUCACGCUGAAUGGUUGCAGCCGAUGCAACCUUAGCUGUAUUGCGAUUGUGUGAUACGGGGGAUUAAUGGUAUUAGU
rfam:Paenibacillus popilliae ATCC 14706 DNA, contig: contig183.